rnacentral:rRNA from 1 species
CGGCGAGUGAAGCGGUAACAGCUCAAAUUUGAAAUCUGGGUCUUUUAGGCUCCGAGUUGUAAUUUGUAGAAGAUGCUUUGGGUGCGGCCCCGGUCUAAGUUCCUUGGAACAGGACGUCAUAGAGGGUGAGAAUCCCGUAUGUGAUCGGUGGCUUGCGCCCGUGUAAAGCUCUUUCGACGAGUCGGGUUGUUUGGGAAUGCAGCUCUAAAUGGGUGGUAAAUUUCAUCUAAAGCUAAAUAUUGGCCAGAGACCGAUAGCGCACAAGUAGAGUGAUCGAAAGAUGAAAAGCACUUUGGAAAGAGAGUUAAACAGUACGUGAAAUUGUUGAAAGGGAAGCGCUUGCAACCAGACUUGCGCGGGGUUGAUCAUCCGGGGUUCUCCCCGGUGCACUCGGCCUCGCUCAGGCCAGCAUCGGUUUUGGUGGUUGGAUAAAGGCCUUGGGAAUGUGACUUCUUUCGGGGAGUGUUAUAGCCCUCGGUGCAAUGCAGCCUACCGGGACCGAGGACCGCGCUUCGGCUAGGAUGCUGGCGUAAUGGUUGUAAGCGACCCGUCUUGAAACACGGACCAAGGAGUCUAACAUCUAUGCGAGUGUUUGGGUGUCAAACCCAUACGCGUAAUGAAAGUGAACGGAGGUGAGAACCCUUAAGGGUGCAUCAUCGACCGAUCCUGAUGUCUUCGGAUGGAUUUGAGUAAGAGCAUAGCUGUUGGGACCCGAAAGAUGGUGAACUAUGCCUGAAUAGGGUGAAGCCAGAGGAAACUCUGGUGGAGGCUCGCAGCGGUUCUGACGUGCAAAUCGAUCGUCA